rnacentral:rRNA from 1 species
AGUGAACGCUGGCGGCAGGCCUAAUACAUGCAAGUCGAACGGCAGCACAGUGGAGCUUGCUCCAUGGGUGGCGAGUGGCGGACGGGUGAGGAAUACAUGGGAAUCUGCCCAGUCGUGGGGAUAACGUAUGGAAACGUACGCUAAUACCGCAUGCGCCCUUCGGGGGAAAGUCGGGGACCGCAAGGCCUGACGCGAUUGGAUGAGCCCAUGUUCGAUUAGCUAGUUGGCGGGUAACGGCCCACCAAGGCGACGAUCGAUAGCUGGUCUGAGAGGAUGAUCAGCCACACUGGAACUGAGACACGGUCCCAGACUCCUACGGGAGGCAGCAGUAGGGAAUAUUGGACAAUGGGCGCAAGCCUGAUCCAGCCAUGCCGCGUGAGUGAAGAAGGCC